UACCACACAGUGAGCACAAAGCGAACUAUUCUUUCGCCUUUUACUAAAGAAUAUCGUGUGCGUGCUGUAAUUAAUGGCAUACACCAUUUUUUGGAGGGGUUCUCUUCUUUAGAGUACC